GAUGGUUUUAUAAGUGUCUGACAGUUCC
rnacentral:piRNA from 1 species